rnacentral:rRNA from 1 species
CUCUUGAGCAAGUAAUAUGGGAGUCGGACCUGCCCAGUGAAUAACUUUUCAACGGCCGCGGUACUCUGACCGUGCGAAGGUAGCAUAAUCAUUUGCCCUAUAAUUGAGGGCUAGUAUGAAUGGUUUGACGAGAACAAAGCUGUCUCUGUGUGAUUUUUUAGAAUUUGAUUUUUAGGUGAAGAAACCUAAAUAACAUUGAAAGACAAGAAGACCCUAUUGAGCUUUAAAAAAAUAAGUGGGAACAAAUAUAUAAAUCUAAAUAUUAAUCUGUUUAAAAUUUUGGUUGGGGCGACUAUGGAACAGGCAAAGCUUCUUUAUUGCUAAAAGACUCUCAGGUUUUGAUCCAAAAGUUUUGAUUAAUGGAAUUAGUUACCAUAGGGAUAACAGCAUAAUCUUCUUUGAGAGUUCUUAUCGAAAAGGGGGUUUGUGACCUCGAUGUUGGACUAGAAUAUCCUAAAGAUGCAGCAGUCUUUAAGGGUUGGUCUGUUCGACCAUAAAAUCU